rnacentral:rRNA from 1 species
ACCAGAAGCCGAUGAAGGUCGUAGGAGGCUGCGAAAAGCCUCGGGGAGCCGCCAACCAGGCUUCGAUCCGAGGAUUACCGAAUGGGGAAACCCGGCUGGAGUAAUGUCCAGUCAUUUCUCUCUGAAUAAAUAGGAGAGUCAAAGGUAACGAGGGGAAGUGAAACAUCUCAGUACCCUCAGGAAGAGAAAACAACCGUGAUUCCGUUAGUAGUGGCGAGCGAAAGCGGAAGAGGCUAAACCAAUCAUGUGCCAAGCCGGCAGGCGUUGCAUGAUCGGUGUCGUGGGACUAAAUGAAAUUAACUGCCGUUAAUUUAACAAGUCAGAAAAUAAUGAAAUAGAUGAAGGACGUGGGAAAGUCCGGCAUAGAAGGUGAGACCCCUGUAGUCGAAAUUUCAUUAUCUUGUUUUUAGUAUCCCAAGUAAUACCGGACUCGUGUAAUCCGGUAUGAAUCUGGCGGGACCACCCGCUAAGCCUAAAUACUCUCUGGUGACCGAUAGUGAACAAGUACCGUGAGGGAAAGGUGAAAAGAACCCCGCAAGGGGAGUGAAAUAGAAUCUGAAACCGUUUGCAUACAAACCGUUGGAGCUGCCUUGUGCAGUGACAGCGUGCCUUUUGAAGAAUGAGUCUACGAGUUAGUGUGAUGUGGCAAGGUUAACCCGUCGAGGGGAAGCCGUAGCGAAAGCGAGUCUGAAUAGGGCGAAUAAGUCGCAUCAUCUAAACCCGAAGCGAGGUGAUCUCGCCAUGACCAGGUUGAAGCGCGGGUAAGACCGCGUGGAGGACCGAACCCACUAAAGUUGAAAAUUUAGGGGAUGAGUUGUGGCUAGGGGUGAAAGACCAAUCAAACUUCGUGAUAGCUGGUUCUCUCCGAAAUGCAUUUAGGUGCAGCGUCACGUGUUUCUUACUGGAGGUAGAGCUACUGGAUGGCCGAGGGGUCCUACAAGAUUACCAACGUCAGCCAAACUCCGAAUGCCAGUAAGUGAGAACGUGGCAGUGAGACAGUGGGGGAUAAGCUUCAUUGUCGAGAGGGAAACAACCCAGAACAGCAACUAAGGUCCCAAAGCCUGUGCUAAGUGGAAAAGGAUGUGAAGUCGCAUAGACAACCAGGAGGUU